rnacentral:rRNA from 1 species
GUAGGUGGCAAGCGUUGUCCGGAAUUAUUGGGCGUAAAGCGCGCGCAGGCGGUUCUUUAAGUCUGAUGUGAAAGCCCACGGCUCAACCGUGGGGGGUCAUUGGAAACUGGAGAACUUGAGUACAGAAGAGGAAAGCGGAAUUCCACGUGUAGCGGUGAAAUGCUUAGAGAUGUGGAGGAACACCAGUGGCGAAGGCGGCUUUCUGGUCUAUAACUGACGCUGAGGCGCGAAAGCGUGGGGAGCAAACAGGGAUUAGAUACCCUGGUAGUCCACGCCGUAAACGAUGAGUGCUAAGUGUUAGGGGGUUUCCCGCCCCUUAGUGCUGCAGCUAACGCAUUAAGCACUCCGCCUGGGGAGUACGGCCGCAAGGCUG